GAUGAACGCUGGCGGCGUGCUUAAUACAUGCAAGUCGAACGGAGUAUGUAGCAAUACGUACUUAGUGGCGCACGGGUGAGUAACACGUAGGCAACCUACCCUUCAGUGGGGGACAACAGAGGGAAACUUCUGCUAAUACCGCAUACGGCCUUGUACUGGGAUGUACGAGGAGAAAGGAUUUAUUCGCUGAGGGAUGGGCCUGCGGCCUAUCAGGUAGUUGGUGGGGUAAAGGCCUACCAAGCCUGCGACGGGUAGCCGGACUGAGAGGUCGACCGGCCACACUGGAACUGAGACACGGUCCAGACUCCUACGGGAGGCAGC
rnacentral:rRNA from 1 species